rnacentral:rRNA from 1 species
UGGUGGAGUGAUUUGUCUGGUUAAUUCCGUUAACGAACGAGACCUCGACCUGCUAAAUAGUACUGUUGAUCUUAGAUCGACUGAACUUCUUAGAGGGACUCUCGGUGUGUAGCCGAUGGAAGUUCGAGGCAAUAACA